GUCCUGAACAAGGCUCUUAAGGACUUCCACUGGUCAUUGCAUGUGGGGUUCCAAAUAACCGAUAUACGUUCAAGUUCAUGGCUUUUCCGGGGAAUCACUUUACUUUGCCAUCUGGCAGAAAGCAAACGAUCGUGAUUUUUCAGAAUUUCAGUAGCUGCAGCAGGGGAAGAGCCAACAACAACGACUUGCGUACCGAGCCUCAAUGAAAUCAGAGGGCCAUGAACUUUGGCAAAG
rnacentral:misc_RNA from 1 species